GACGAACGCUGGCGGCGUGCUUAACACAUGCAAGUCGAACGGAAAGGCCUGCUUUCCCUUGUGGAUUGCGGGUACUCGAGUGGCGAACGGGUGAGUAACACGUGAGUGAUCUGCCCCCAACUUGGGUAUAAGCCUGGGAAACUGGGUCUAAUUCCCGAUAGGACUGCAGGGUGGUGCCUGUGGUGGAAAACGAUUUUCUAGUGGUUGGGGAUGAGCUCGCGGCCUAUCAGCUUGUUGGUGGGGUAAUGGCCUACCAAGGCGGCGACGGGUAGCCGGCCUGAGGGGGUGGACGGCCACAUUGGGACUGAGAUACGGCCCAGACUCCUACGGGAGGCAGCAGUGGGGAAUAGUACACAAUGGGCGGAAGCCUGAUGCAGCGACGCCGCGUGGGGGAUGACGGCCUUCGGGUUGUAAACUCCUUUCGACCGCGAGGAAGCCACCUGGUUGGAAGGGUGGUGACGGUAGUGGUAGAAGAAGCACCGGCUAACUACGUG
rnacentral:rRNA from 1 species